UACGUAGGGGGCUAGCGUUGUCCGGAUUUAUUGGGCGUAAAGAGCGUGUAGGCGGCCAGGUAGGUCCGUUGUGAAAACUCGAGGCUCAACCUCGAGACGUCGGCGGAAACCCUCUGGCUAGAGUCCGGAAGAGGAGAGUGGAAUUCCUGGUGUAGCGGUGAAAUGCGCAGAUAUCAGGAGGAACACCAAUGGCGAAGGCAGCACUCUGGGACGGUACUGACGCUGAGACGCGAAAGCGUGGGGAGCAAACAGG
rnacentral:rRNA from 1 species